rnacentral:rRNA from 1 species
UUAGGAAUUUUGGGCAAUGGGCGAAAGCCUGACCCAGCAACGCCGCGUGGGUGAAGAAGGUCUUCGGAUCGUAAAGCCCUUUUCUGUGGGAAGAUGAUGACGGUACCACAGGAAUAAGCAUCGGCUAACUACGUGCCAGCAGCCGCGGUAAUACGUAGGAUGCAAGCGUUGUCCGGAUUUAUUGGGCGUAAAGAGCGCGCAGGUGGUUAGAUAAGUUGGGUGUGAAAGCCCCUGGCUUAACCAGGGUAGGUCAUCCAAAACUGUCUAGCUUGAGGGCAGCAGAGGAAAGUGGAAUUCCCGGUGUAGUGGUGAAAUGCGUAGAUAUCGGGAGGAACACCAGUGGCGAAGGCGGCUUUCUGGGCUGUCACUGACGCUGAGGCGCGAAAGCGUGGGGAGCGAACC